UACACCAUUCCUAGUGUUUAUACUGUAUGAGCAAAAUCCGAAUAACCACUGUAUGAUAACAUUCAAACAUUCAAACUCAAUAGAAUAUAGAGAGAGGCAUGUAACUCUGGACUCUGCCAUCUUACUUCCACUUAGUAUAACCCAAGAAGAGCUGUGAAUGGACAAAAGGGUGCAUGAGAUAUUCAAAAAGCCCCUUGAAGGAGGAGACUGAAGCAAGGGCUGCUUGCAGGGUUACCCAGAGGCCACAAGGGUGUGCCCUGGAGGAGGUCACCCUAUGACAGUAGCUUGAAUGCUGACUUCUGAAUACUAAGCUGAAAUUUUAACAUCUCUUGAAUGGCUCAUCUUGACCAUUAGUUCUCACGUGCAACUGUAAUAGGCUGAGUCUGACUCGACUGGAGGGCCCACCACAAACAGGUAGAGAGAACGUGCAGGCACACACACUUGGCCAGGGGGCACUUGCGAGAGAGAUGAAAAGAGGUGGGCAAAAUUCUGUCCUCAGAAGCACACCCUCAGCUCCUGCUGCUUUCUGCAUGCAGAAUUGGUCCUCGUGUGUAUGUGUGAACAACUAAACAAAUAGAGAGAACGAGUCCCAGAUAUCAUGACUUUGGAAAGGGUGUUGCAUCUGAGAGGUAUCUACAACCGAAUUCCACCUUCAAUACUAUAGAAUAUGUGUAGGACUGUCUGUUCAAAAUGUGUAUACUCUAAUUGAAAGGAAUCGGGAAGUGAAAAAUGAAAUUUGGCCGUUCUAUUCUACGCCACCAUUUGAUGCUUGUUGUGCGACUCUAGCAAAAGGGAGCUGUCGCUACAGGCAUAAUUUACUUGAUUUUAAGGAUCCAUAUGAAUUCUGGCUACAGAUCAAGUAGCCAUGAACAAAGAGGAAUGUUUCCCCAUGCUCAUUUGUUUUCCAUGUGUGAAUUUUCACUCGUCCAAACUCUCCCCGCAAAAAAAUAUUAUUUGUCUUCAUGAAUUCCAUGUGGAAAUACAACAAAAGUCCUGCUAAUAAAUUAUUCAAGAAAGACAACAGAUUUUUUUUUGAUUGCAAAAAUACUCAAAAAGCCAGCGUUAGAAUCAAAAUAUCAGUUCCCUGUGAUUUCAGUAUUUUCAGUUAUAUAUUAUAAAAUGCUACAUACGUAGCAAAUAGAUUCACAUGCUCACGGAGAGCUUUUCUGGGUGAAUUAUCCUAAACAGGAUAACUCAAUGGCAAAGUAAGUAGGCUUUUAAUGCUAUUACUAUUAGGAAAAUAACAUUAAUAUGAGACAUAUGCAGGUUGCUAUUACAUCAGUGCACAGUAUUAUUCAGUCAAUAUGCAGGCCCAGUGCUGUAGAUCAGUGCAGAGUUCCUGGGCCUUUAACACAUGUACCUUGGCUUAGUCUUGAGGUCAAAAUCUAUUAAUGCAAUUUUCUGUAUAAAAAAGAGAAUUUAAAAUCCAUGUGUUUUUAAUGACAUGUCCAGGGUUUGGAUUUUUUUAAAAAUUUGUCCUAGUCACAUUGAAUGUGAACUUCAUUGAAAUAUGUGUUAUCUAUGGCAAACA